UUGCCCAUAGGAUAGCUGGUGCGUUUAAAAAUUAGGUAAAAUAAUUUUAACUGGCAGAAGCCUUAGGGGUCGAAACGAUCUUAACCUAUUCUUAAGCCUUAAAUGGAUAAGAACCUCGCCUUUCUUAGUAUGAAGAUUGUGGUUACGAUAUAAUGUACCAAGUAGGCCACUCUUGGUAAGCAGAACAGGUGCUGUGGGAUGAACAAAACGCAAUGUUACGUUGUCCAAAUUAACAACUCUUGUAGAUAUCAUGAUAUCAUGAAAGGUGUUUUGUGCUUAAAACAGUAGGACGGUGGAUAUGAAAGGCGCUAUCCGCUAAGGAGAGUGUAACAACCUACCUGUCGAAGCAACUAGCCCUUAAAAUGGAUGGCGCUUAAGUACAUACUUAUUUUGCAAAUUUUUUUUUUCUAUAUUU
rfam:Glossina brevipalpis unplaced genomic scaffold Scaffold65, whole genome shotgun sequence.